AUGACCGGUGGCACAGCCGGCGUUGGCGGCAGUGGUCGAUCCCCUGGUCGUCGUAGCUUAUGGAAGGCCGGCACUAGCGAGGCCCCCUCCGUCCCCAUCCGCGAGUUCCACGACAGGGGACUUCGACCUCGCCUGCGUUCUCCCAGGUUCCUCGGCAUCAACCCGACCUCCCACAAGUUGGCGUUCGGAGCUAUAUCUGAACUUCUUGAUAAUGCAGUAGAUGAGAAGCUGCGAGAAGACGAGCCCCAGCCAGACGACUUACCCCCGUCUCCCGCAGAUGGUUCUUCUUCCAUUGAGAUGCCCAGGCCUGACGGAUCUUGCUCGUCAUCAGCCCAGGGCCCGGUCCGCCGGAGCAGUCAGAGAGGAGUGGCGGAUGUGCAUCCUCUUAGACGCCGCCGGUCAGAGAAGGCGGGGAUGAGCGGAUUGCAGCGAGGGAAGCGGCUCGGCUCGGACCGUCCAUGGCGCUAG
rnacentral:rRNA from 1 species